rnacentral:rRNA from 1 species
GUCUAUGGCCAUACCACUCUGAACACACCCAAUCUCCCUGAACACGCCCAAUCUGGUCUGAUCACGGGAGCUAAGCAGGGUCGGGCCUGGUUAGUACUUGGAUGGGAGAAGAAAGACAAUGGAGGCAGGAGUAGGAG